GCGUCAGGGCGUGGGGAGAGGAAAACAGCUGUCUGGAAGGAAGCCGGGGUGAGAAUCCAUGCCUUCCCCCGUUGCUAGAGACGAGAAAAGAGACAGGCGGAUGAAUUGCAGUACUGGAGAGCACAUCUUGCACUUCGGCUGAAAGAUCGGCGAUCUUUGGGAAAGCAGCUAAGUAGAAAAUUGAGAGAAGGCAGAUUGUAUGAUGGGAAAUGAACACUUGGAAAUGGAAGCAGUAUAGACUUUAAGCUGGUAAAUUUUGGAACGGGAAAAAGAAAGAAAAAAAAACACCAGCCGAUUAAAGGCAACCCAAACCUUUUCUUCUUUUUUAAACCGGGUACAAAAGGGCAUCUGCACACAUUUGAACACAUGAGGGAAAAUCUCCAUGAAGGAAAGGAAUUUUAAAAACCUACAGAAAAGACAAAUGAAGUGAUCCGAUGGGGGCACCGAGGAGGGUAGAGGAGGCCAGCGGUGACUGUUCCAAACUCCGUCAGUCCCCCGCUCGGCCAGAAACACAGGGUUUGUACCGCCCACUGGCGAACCCUAAGGCCUUGCCGCCCCCGAAAACGACCACGAGCAGCUCCAAAGUCCUCCGCCCGCACGUCGGGGCUCCCCGUUUAGAACAGGGGCUGGAUGCAACCAGGAAGGUCCACUUAGGAUUUCAUACAAAGGCUCCUCCUCGUUUUCAGAUAUGUUAAGGCAACCUUCUGAGCCAGGAGUUAAGCAGGUGCAGCCCCUCCGUGUCAAGGUUCCCCUGCCAGACAGGACGGAAGGACGGCCUCGGCAAGGGUCAACUGCUUUCAGCCUGCCCCACUGCUUCUAGAGUCCAACUGGAAGGCGAGGCCAGAGCUGUCGCCUGGAGCAUGAAACGAGCAAGCUUCUACUGCGUGACAAGCUGUUUUUUCCCUCAAGGAGAAAGAACUAUUCUCGACAAACACUUACGGCCUCUGUGGGCGCUGGGACGCACCUUCGCUCUUCCACUUCCCGAGACAUCACUUCUGUCCCCGUCACUUGCAAGGGGAAUGGCUGCUUCCCCAGGCUCGUCUCAGCACUGCCCACCUGAAUGUCGGGCCGGGGACAGAGCAGCAGGAGGGCCGCAGGCCUCGUUGGGGCACACCUCUCUACCCGCAAGCCAGAAGGAAAACAAGCCGAAGCUGGGCCAUUUUCCCUUCCCCUUUUCGUCCGCUGGCUGUCAUACCUCCCCCUUCUUUCCUCACAAUGAGAAAGCCACUUAAAACCCUGAAACCUAUUCCAUUAGGGGAGCAAACAGAUACAAACGGAGGCACACGUGACAACGGGGGGAAACUCGGUGCCACCCCGCCGACACCACUCCAAGGGAAGAGGCAGAACUGUGCCCCGGGCGGAUUCUAAAUUCAAACUUCAAAUUCAAAAUUUGUCGUGAUUUUGAGGUUGCAGGUGACUCACAUAAACAGAUGUUUUGCUGUUACUGAAUUUUAGCCCCAAAUAUGGUCAGUUUCAGCGGUGACACCCUCCUGUGUUAUUUAGGUAAUGCCCGGCAGAGGCUCCAGAAGGAUCCAAUAUCCACAGCAGAGCAGAGACAAUACUCCUUCCAGGUUUCCGUUCACCUCUCCGCUCUCGCCUCAAAAACUCCUGGAACUCUAGAGCUGUUCUAAUGGCCCUGAUCGCCUCUACCAGGCCGAAGGGCCAUGUGAAUGUCAACUUUAGUCCUUUGUUUUGUGUAU